UACGUAGGGCGCGAGCGUUGUCCGGAAUUAUUGGGCGUAAAGAGCUCGUAGGCGGUUUGUUGCGUCGGCCGUGAAAACUCAGGGCUUAACUCUGAGCCUGCGGUCGAUACGGGCAGACUUGAGUUCGGUAGGGGAGACUGGAAUUCCUGGUGUAGCGGUGAAAUGCGCAGAUAUCAGGAGGAACACCGGUGGCGAAGGCGGGUCUCUGGGCCGAUACUGACGCUGAGGAGCGAAAGCGUGGGGAGCGAACAGG
rnacentral:rRNA from 1 species